rnacentral:piRNA from 1 species
UGGGAAGGAGGAGGACAAGCAGAGCUGGG